GGAGCCAGCAGAUCUCCCAGCAGAUCAAGUCUGGAUGCAGUCUCAGGGCCUCCUACAUGCAAGUAGCUUGGUAAAUGAGUGUCACUGUGAGUGGUCCUUGGGAAGUGAAAGGAUAAUGAGAUCAAAUUGUGGAGCUCCCAUCUUCCAGGAUUUAUGGAACUUGCCACGGGGAGACCCAAAGCACAGAGUUCAGUGAGGGUUAAGCUACCUCUGGACCUGCUUACAGUGGAGCUUUCCUCUGAUCAUGUGCCAAGUGUUUCCAGAUGAGGUGUGUGAUUAUUGCAUCCUCUUCAGGGUAAACAGCCACCUAUUUGCAGACCUGCCUGAGCCAAUGAAGCUGGAAUAGAACUCGAAAAGCAAAUACCUACCUAUGUUUUGAGAAGAUAGAAGUGUAAACAAAGCAGUCAACAAGAUCAUGGAUGACAAAGCAAAAGGUUUUUAGAAGUAACACAUGAAAAGCCAAACUUUCAAGAGUUAGAAGAAACUAGCAGGCCAGUUCCCA